rnacentral:rRNA from 1 species
CCUACGGGUGGCAGCAGUGGGGAAUACUGCGCAAUGGGCGGAAGCCUGACGCAGCGACGCCGCGUGGGGGAUGACGGCCUUCGGGUUGUAAACCUCUUUCAGCAGGGACGAAGCGGAAGUGACGGUACCUGCAGAAGAAGCACCGGCCAACUACGUGCCAGCAGCCGCGGUAAUACGUAGGGUGCAAGCGUUGUCCGGAAUUAUUGGGCGUAAAGAGCUCGUAGGCGGUUUGUUGCGUCGGCUGUGAAAACCUGAGGCUCAACCUCAGGCCUGCAGUCGAUACGAGCAGACUAGAGUGUUGCAGGGAAGACUGGAAUUCCUGGUGUAGCGGUGAAAUGUGCAGAUAUCAGGAGGAACACCGGUGGCGAAGGCGGGUCUCUGGGCAACAACUGACGCUGAGGAGCGAAAGCGUGGGGAGCGAACAGGAUUAGAUACCCCGGUAGUC